GCUACCUGUGACAUAAUCUGCAUGGUGAUUGGCCUAGCAAAGUGUACGACUGCACAAACAUAUAUAAGAUGGGCAAAUUGCCGAAUAAAGUUGGAAUUGAACCUGCAUUCUGUGAAUGCGUAUGAUUCAUUCCCGUCACUCCCGCGGACCACGCCAACCCACGUCACACCCACGUUACCUUCAAAUCACCCACGUCACACACAGGUAACAUUCGAAUUUCGCACGUCACUCCCACGUCACCUUCGAAUCUCCCACGUCACACCCACGCCACACCCACGUCACGUUCGAAUCUCCCACGUCACACCCAUGUCACGUUCGAAUCUCCCACGUCACACCCACGUCACGUUUGAAUUUCCAUUUCACACCCACGUCAGUGCUUUGCUAGGCGAGGAAGCAACAUGCAGUGCUUUACUAGCUGGCUAGGCGGCGGAAGCACGCAUUGAUUUGGUAGGCAGUGAAGGGACUCAAUGCUUUGCCAGGCGGAGAGGGGAAAAGGGACACAGCGGUGUGCUAGGCGGCAAGGCGCCGGCGAAACAAUGCAGCAAGGGGACACAACGCUUUGCCUGGCAGUGACAGGACGGGGAGCUUUGCUAGGCAGUGAAGGGAAAAGACGCUUUGCUAGGCGGCAAGGCGGCGAAGUGACGAAGCGAUUUGGGAGGCAGCGAAGGGACACUGUGCUUUGGUACGUGUCAUUCGGCGAAGGGACAGGGCACUUUGCUAGGCGUCGAGGCGGCGAAGGCACACAGUGCUUUGCCAGGCGGCAAAGGGACACGGCACUUUGCUAGGCGGCAAGGUGACACGAUGCUUUGCAUCUGGGCGAGGAGGUGAAGGCACGCAGUGCUUUGCUAGGUGGCAAGGCUGCAAAGGGACACAUCGCUUUUCUAGGCGGCGAAGAAACACGGUGCUUUGCUAGGCCAUGAAGGCACGCAGUGCUCUGCUACGCGACGAGGGAG
rnacentral:lncRNA from 1 species